AUUUGGUUUAGGGUUUAGGAUUUGGAUUAGGAUUUGAUUUAGGAUUUAGGAUUUGAUUAGGAUUUAUUUAGGAUAUAGGAUUUGGUUAGGAUUUGAUUUAGGAUUUGGUUAGGAUUUUAUUUAGGAUUUAGGAUUUGAUUAGGAUUUGAUUAGGGUUUUAUUUCAAAUUUAGGAUUUAUUUAGGAUUUGGUUUAGGAUUUAAGGUUUGAAUUAGGAUUUGGUUUAGGGUUUAGAAUUUGGAUUAGGAUUUGGUUAGGGUUUGAUUUGGGAUUUAGGAUUUGGUUUAGGUUUUGGUUAGGAUUUGGUUAGGAUUUGGUUGGGAUUUGAUUUAAGGUUUGUUUAGGAUUUGAUUUAGGAUUUAGGAUUUUAUUAGGAUUUAAGAUUUAAUUAGUUUUGGCCUAAAUUUUGAAUGAAUUUCAAUAGGAUUUUAACUAGAAUUAAAUUAAGAUUGAAUUGAGAUGUAUUUGAAAGAUAUUUGUGAUCCUUCUUAUAUUUCUUUAAGAAUUCUUAUUAUUUGUUUGAAAUUUCUUUGAGGUUUUUUUGAAUUUGAUUAAUCUUGCUUAGCAUUAUUAUGGUCUAAUUAGAGAAUUAUUAGUAUUCUAUUAGAAUUAAGAUUUUGUUAUUGUAAUUUCCAUUCUUUCUUCCACAACCAGGUGCCCGGAGUAUUCUCAAGCAAGACUUCACGUAUUACGACACCGUUCUAUUUGUCCAUGAAUUUGAGGAUGAAAAGCUGAAAAAAGCUUUAUAUCCACCAUUAGAAUCUUAAGUAGGGUUCUCCAAAAUCUUAAUACAAAU
rnacentral:lncRNA from 1 species